UAAAUAUAUCUCACUGUUUUAAAUGUCAACUUCACUUAUUCUUGAAGUCUAAGCUGGGUCUUAUUAAGGAAAUGUUUGAGAUUUCUUACUCAGAGAAUUGUGCUGAUUGCUAAUUUAUGGAAAUAUCAUCCUAUGCAACACAAAAUCCUUCUUUCAUAAUCUCUUUGCAUAUAUUCCAUUUAUUAUGUGUUCGAGUUAAUCUCUAGUCAUCUCUUACUCAUUUGUUAUAGUAUGCAGGUUUGUACAUUGUUUCAUCCUCCCAUUGAGCCUCUAUCUUUUAUAGAUAUUAAUGUAGUGUUUACUUUUAGAAGCAUGCUUAUGAAAUUUGAGAGCAUCUUGUUGAAAUCAUGGAUUCAAAAACCACACAGAAUGGGACAGUACCAUAGUACCAUACUGUUUUGAUGCAAAAGUGGCACAAGUAUGGGUGUUGGGGUGUCAGAACCACCCACAUCAGUAUGUAUCUUCCAUACCGAUGCAAACCGAUGGUACAGCACCAACUGUACCAGUUGAUAUUGACAGUUUUUCAUUCAUUUUGAUAUUUUCAAUUUUUACGUAUUGUUGGUACCAGUACCAUACUGAAACCAUACCAUUUCGAUGAAAAAUGGUACACAGUCCAAUACUGGUAUUUAAAACCUAGGUUAUAAUAGUCAUGAGCUUAGGUAUAGCAAUAUGCAUUCAUAUUUAUUCUUUCCCUCAAGUAAUUUGUAUGAUAUAAUUUCAUGAAAGAAGGAUCGACUCUUCUUGGGCAGCCUAGAUACAGUAGCUGUGAAGCUGUUGUUAUGCGUGGUUAGAGUACUUUCUUCUGAAAGUAGGAUAGCAUCCUUAUCAAACAUGUAUGUACAUUACUUUUUAGUGUUUCUGUUGCCACAUAAGACUUGAGCCCUUGUAACCUAUGCAUGGCCAUUUUGAAUUGAAAAUAUCAGUUAGAUUGGGGUGCAUAAAUUGUUUAAUAUCGAUUUUUCGGCUUUUUUUUGUUUUUGGUUUAUAAUUUUUUGGCUAUUCUUUACAACUGGCUCAAAGAACAUAUGUCGGGUAUGUUGAUGGGUUGAACAUGGUCUCAAUACCUCAUGUGUCUGCCAGAGUGAGGUUGUUGUUUUUCUUUGUUCCAUUAAAAGUUUAAGGUUUAUAGUCCCCCCUCCCUAUGGCCUGCACUACAAAUCUGUAUAGUGUCAGGUUGUACUUUCUUCUGCAGGAUAUCACUUGUAUUUUGAAUAGUAUUUUGCACAUUUGAUGCAUGUGGAAAACCCUAUAGGCUUUGGUGUGUUUUGUGUAAUUUACUGGCAAUAGUUCAAAAUGUAGAAACCAAUAUCUUUAGAGCUUCAAAGUCCCUUGUACAUAUUUCCUUCAGCCCUAACAUAAUUAAGCAGUAUGGAAUAUCUGACAAUUAAAGAAACAUGUCAAAUCCUUAAACAAAAUGUCAUAUUAUAUAAAAAAACUUUUUGGUUUUCAAACUUCAAGCUCCAUUGCCCAUUAAGGUUGAUAGUUUGAUACUGAGAGUACUGUUUGAUCACAAGCUUUUAAUGAGUUAAAGAGAAUCUGUGCAAAUUAAAAAGUGAUGAAUAAACCUCCAAUAUCCCUUCUGUGUAAGAAACCUGCUUCCUGAGUGAGGUGAUUGCUUAUAAGUCAUGCUUUUGUGUAUGCAUGAGUGGAAUUUACAAGACACUACCUCAUUUGAUAAAUAUUUCCUCAAGUCUAUCUCUCUUUAAAAUAGGCCUAGAAAAAGAUAAUAAAAUAAUCAGUUAGCAAAGGAGAAACAUUUACGCAGGGGCAUUUUGCAAUAUGUAUAAAAUAUUAUAGGAUAUUACCUUUGAAGCUCUCUAGUUCAUAGUUCUCCAAUCCAUCAGGCUUCUUUAACUCAUACUUUAUUAAAUACCUCCUUGCAUAAAUUAGGAGUUCCUUGUGAAUCAUGAUCCAAUAUUAAAUUUGACAUUUUUGUCAAGUUUUGCUUACCAUCACGGAUUUAGGUCACUAAUCAAGAAUCACAGAAACUUGUAGCAGUCGAGUAUGCAUAACACAUCCAGAACCUUCCGUAAGUGAUUAUGGACAAUGAUCAAAGAAAUGAGGGUUCACAACGUAAAUCAUUCUUUCUUGAGAUAUUUGAUUUAUGAAAAAUUAUUUUCCCUAUCGAAGUUUUAUGCAGGCCUAUAUUGCUGAUAUAGGAAUAUGAAUUCCAUUCAUAUGCCAGUUAAAGGCACAUGCAUGUGAGUUGUAUGACCCAUGUCCUAUAAAGUGUGCUCCAAAUAUUUCUAGUGUAAUUGGCCAAAAGACGUAUUUUAUCAUAGCUCUCUAAAGCAACUGAAAAGUGUAUAAAUAUCCAAGCAGAAAAGUCUAAAAGAAAUUACUUGGAAUUUUUAUCUCCUCCAAAUUUUUUCCACAAUGAUUCUAUAUCCAUGAAGCAAUAAAUGAUCAAUAACCAAAAGAAAACAUCUCAUAGUAUUGCUAUUUCUCUAAACAAAGUUACAAUUACUAUAUUUUUUGGUUCAAACUUCCAUUGUAUUUCAAAGAUGAUUAAACCAUGAAGGUUCUUUAUUAGAUUUGUCUCUCAUGCUACAUUGACCGCUGGAUUGUGACUUAGUGCUAUGUGGUGCCAAUUGAUCAUAAUCCUCUUGUAAGUGUAAGGGUCAAUCCAAUGUACUACAAAUCUAGGAUACAACGUUACAACCAAAAAGUGGACUACAUUAAUUAAUUCAGAUCCAUAAUGCUUACCUCCAUAUUACCAGCUGUUUAACACCUUUGGAGAUAGUCUCAUCAUUCCUCUACUUCACCAACCAUCAAUGAGAAUAUUCCCCUUAAACCUCUUAAAUAAGUUAUUAUAGUGUUCUUUUGAAAAGGAGCUGUGAUAUUUGGGAAGUCAAGGGACUGCAUGAUGCAGCCCAUGGUUUAAUUAACAGAAAAUAAAGGGGAAAUGGGUGAGAAUUUGAAGGGGGGGAUGAAGUGUGGGAGGAGUCCACCUCCUUGGAUAGACCUUAGAUAAGAUCAAAUCCAGAAAACUUAGUAAACGACUCUGGAAAAAGUACCAGUUUAUUUCAGACUCUGUAAAUAUUUUUUCACUAUCUGAAAAUGCAUACGAUGGACCUUAUAUAGACUCUUAGAAGUUUCAGGAUAGUUACAGACCUUCAGACCAGACUUUUGACCAAUAAAUGACCUUGGGACUAGACUCUUAACUAAUAAAUGCAUCCUAAUAAAAACACUCUGGAAAGACUAAAUGACUCUUAGGAUAACCUGAAAAUUUGACUGAGAAAUUCUAGAAUAAUCUAAGGAAAUAUCUGCUGAAAAUAUCUAGCUGAAUCUAAGAAACUAUCUGACUUAUUUUCCAUCAAUCCUCCCUCUGUUGGAAAGAACUCGUCUCCGACUAGUGAAAAGGUUGAUAUCGAUCAAAAAGUUCUGGGUCACAGCACUGAAAAUCUGAAGCAAUAAUCCAAGUACUCUUAGAAAUUGGCUUUCCUUUCCAUUUGAUAAGAAACUUCUUGUAUCUCCCAUUUUUGGUGGAGACAAUCUGUUUAUUAAGAACAUCUUCAAUGACAUCCAUGUUCUUUGGCACCUCUGGAAGUCUCGGAGUUGAAAUAACUGAUGGAGCUUCCUCAUUAUCGCCAUAACAAGGACUAAGAUCCUCAACAUUAAAAAUUGGACUGAUAGUAAGCUCCUCGGGCAGUUCAAGUAAAUGAGCAUUUCCUGCAAGUCGCUUUAGCACUUUGAAAGUGCCUGCUUUUCUUAAAUGAAGCUUUUGGAAUGCCCCCUUUAGAAAGUAUUUUGGCCUCAGGCGAACAAGCACUUUAUCUCCUACUUGAAACUCUACAAAUCUUCUGUGCUUGUCUGCAUCAGACUUGUAUUGCUCAUUACUGGCAGCAAUUUUCUUCCUCACUUCUUCAUGAAUCUCAUGGAUAUGCUUACCAAAAUCCUCAGCUUCUUGACUGGUCCGGCCUUCAAUAGGUAAUGGAACAAGGUUGAUAGGUUGCCGUGGCUUUAAACCUGUGACAAUCUCGAAAGGAGACCAUCCUGUACUUCUGUUAACACUACUAUUGUAAGCAAAUUCUGCUGUUGGCAAGAUCAGAUCCCAUGAUUUCAUAUUUUGCCCCACAAGACAGCGCAAAAGAUUGCCCAAACUGCGAUUGAUGACCUCCGUUUGAUCAUCAGUUUGUGGAUGGUAGGCAUUAAAAAACUUCAGUUGUGUACCCAUAAGUUUCCAUAGGAUUUCCAGAAGUAGCUUACAAAUUUAGCAUAUCCAUCAGAAACUAUGGUCUUAGGAUUUAGGAAGACCAUGUAACCUCACUACUUCGUAGAAGAAGAUUUGGGCAAUUUUUGAUGCAUUUGAUGCCUUCCAACAGGGAAUAAAAUGGGCCAUUUUUGAAAAUCUAUGUACCACGACAAAGAUUGAGUUGUACCCUCUAGUUGUUUUAGGAAGCCCUAAAACAAAAUUCAUAUAUAAAUCUUCCCAUGGUACUUGAGGCACUGGAAGAGGUGUAUAGAGCCUUGAAUUCUGCUUGUGAUCCUUUGAAACUUGACAAACACGUCAUUGCCGAAUAAUCUUUUCAACAUCACACCUUAGCCGUGGCCGAUAGAAUCUAUCCUCCACCAAGGAUGUUGUCUUGUCAUGUCCAUAGUGUCCAGCUAGUCCUCCUGAAUGUAACUCCCAAACGACAAAAUCAUGAGUUGAAGUAUUUGGCAAGCAUAAUCAGUUACCAUAGAAAAGAGAACCGUUCCUCAAACUAAAAUGAGGAUGAGUAACAGCCACGUUUUGCUGCAAAUCUGUAUAAAUUGUCCCAAAAUAGGGAUCACUUGCAUACUUAUUUUCUAACUCUUCAAAACUAGCCUCUUUGAUAGACAUAACAGCCAGCACGGUUGCCUUCUGACUGAGAGCAUCUGCUGCCUUAUUUUCAGCACCUGAAUAAUGUCCGAUCACGUAGAAAAAUUGUUGCAAAUAAGCACCCCACUUGGCAUGCUUGGAGCUUAGGUGCCUCUGGGAAUUAAGAUACUUCAAUGCCUCAUGGCCGGAAUAUAAGAUGAAUUCCUUGUAAGAUAAAUGAUGCUUCCAAUGCUUGACAGCUUGGACUAUAGCAUAGAACUCAAGGUCAUAAGUCAAGUAUUUCUUCUUUGCUUCAUUGAGUUCCUCACUAUGAUAAGCAAUAGGAUGCCCUUGUUGGCUAAGGACUGCACCAAUGCCUAAAUGUGAUGCAUCACAAGUGAGCUCGAACACCUUAUCUAAAUCUGGACUUUUUAAGACAUGUUUCUAUCAUCUUCAUCUUUAUUUCUUGAAAAGCCUGAUCAACUGCCCUCAUCCACACAAAAUUUCCUUUCUUUAGGCAUUCUGUAAUUGGUGCCAUGAUGGAGCUAAGAUUGCGAAUGAAACACCGAUAAAAAGUGGCUAAUCCAUCAAAGCUUCUUACUUCACUUAAUCUGGUUGGUGUAGGCCAAUCAAGAAUAGCCUUCACCUUUUCAGGAUCGGCCUUAUUGCCUUCAGAAGAAAUAAUAAAUCUCAAGAAACUGACACAAUCAGUUAAGGAUGCACACUUCUUCAAAUUGAUAUAGAAAUUCUCCACCCGUAAAGUCAUCAAAACCUUUUUAAGGUGAGUCAGGUGUUGCUCUCUGUUGCUGGUGUAAAUCAGUAUAUCAUUGAAGUAUAUUGCCACAAAUAUUCCGGUAUAGGGCCGUAGGAGAUGUGUCAUUAUCCUCAUGAAGGUGCUUGGUGCAUUUGUAAUCCCAAAUGGCAUCACCAACCAUUCAUAGAGACCAUCUUUUGUCUUGAAAGCUAUUUUUCAUUCGUCACCUGGAUGAAUUCUGAUUUGAUGAUAACCACUCCUGAGGUCAAUUUUUGAAAACACCUUUGCUCCAGCCAUUAAGUCAAGCAUAUCAUCAAGUCUAGGUAUAGGAAGCUGGUACUUGAUGGUUAUUUUAUUUAUGGCUCGACUAUUGAUGCACAUCCUCCAAGAUCCAUCUUUCUUUGGCAUCAAUAAUGCUGGAACAGCACAGGGGUUGAGGUUUUCUCUGAUGAAACCUUUAGAAAGAAGAUCUUCAACUUGCCUUCUUAAUUCUUCAUGUCCAGUUGGGCUCAUUCGAUAGGUCGGCAAGUUUGGAAGUGAAGCUCCAGGUACAAGAUCAAUUUGCAUGUUGAAUUUCACGCAUCGGGGGAAGUCCUUUUGGCAACUCCUCAGGAAUUAAGUCAACAAAUUCUGAUAAUAUUUGCUGAAUAUCAAAAUCUGAAUUAGGUAGUUGAUGUUGAUUGCUCUCCUGUUUCUCCAUUACAACCAAUGCAUAGGUAAGAUCUUCCUUCUUGCUCUCUCCUUCGAACCUCUUUAUGGAUAACGCCUUUACUUCUUUCUUUUCGGCUAAUUGCUUCACCUUGGACUCUUCAUCUUUCAUGGGCAUCAACCUGAUCUUCCUCCACUGGUACAAGGUGUCAAUAUUCGCUUCCCCAUCAUGUAGUAUUUUCCUGUCAUAUUGCCAUGGCCUUCCUAACAGAAUAUGAGCAACCUACAUUGGAAUGACAUCACACCAUACUGUUUUUUUUAUAUCGAUCUCCAGUUGAAAAUGUUACCAAGCAUUGCUUUAUAACUAGAAGAGAGGUAUCAUUGAUCCAAGCAACUUUGUGGGGUUCCGGGUGUUGUCAGGGCUUUAGCUUGAGUUUGUCAACAAGUGCUUGUGAAACAAUAUUUGUGCAGCUAUCUCCAUCAAUGAUGAGCUUCACAACUUGAUCGCUACGUUCAACAUUGGUGUGAAAUAUACUGGCGCAAAGCCAAUGGUCUUCACAUGCUUCUUUUGGUGCUAUUAAGAGUUGCCACAUCAUCAUUGACACUUGUUUUACUCCUGCAACUUCAUCGAUAUCAUCUUCUUGUUCUUCAAGGGCUUGCACCGUAUCAUUUUCUUCUUGAAUGUCAGCAGCCUCUUCCUCUCCACAGAAAGUCAGAUUCUUGCUUGGACACAAUUUUGCAAAAUGGCCCUUUCUCCACACUUAUAACACUCAAUUUGUCUCUCCUGUUUGCUGGAAGUUUCUGCAACAAUUCUUCAUGCAAAAUCUGAAGUUCCAGGAAGACUUUUGCUAAAAUUUGCUUUUAACUGCAGUCUGUUGAGUUCCUAAUUCCUGGCAACAAGGUCCCCUAAUUGAGGUAAUCUCAUCUUAUAUCGAGACAAAAGUUGAUGGUCAUCUUCAUCAACAUGGCACUGAAUGAUAAGUCAUUGAACUUCUCCGUGUAUUCUUCGACUAUCAUUGCUCCUUGCCGUGACUGCAAUAAUUCAUCAUAAAUUGAGUCCUCAUAACCAAGAGGAAGAUACUUCUCUGGUAACUUGAGCUUCAUUUCCUCCCAAUGAAUUAUAGGAGGCUGCCCAAGUCUAUUGAGCCGCUUUUCAGUGCUACACCACCACAUACGUGGUUGCCCCUUUAGUUUCAUUUCACAAAUCUAACCUUUCGAUCUUCAGACAUCUCGUACCAAUUAAAAUAGUCUUCCAUUGUCGUUGUCCAAUCAGUGAAGGAAUGAGGGUCAAGCUUCCUCAAAAAAUCCGGAACAUCAAUCUUAACCUUCUUGGUAAUGUCAUCAUAGGCCCUGUGUUGCUGGAAUAUCUGUCGAUAGUUCCCGGCCAGCCCCCUCUCAACAACAGGCUGAGGUUGAUUAUGUUGGACUGGAUGUUGAUGCAUAAUUCUUCUUGGUGCGCCUGCAUCGCCAGCUUCUACCUCUUAAACAUCUUCAUGAUUUUCAUUGUCAGCCUCAGGUCUUGGGUUUUCUGGAGCUGUUGCCCUUUCUAUCUCCAGAGGCCGUACGAGGUCACCAUCGAGCUGGACAAGGAAGAAUAGUAGACCUGCAAGACAAGUCCCUGGCUAGAAUUGUUGUUGGCAGGGACCCUUUAAUGUUCAAGUCAGUCAGGCAUCAGAGAAUUGUGGAAAGGAGGGAGCGGGAGGGGCUUGAGAGCUUACCUAGGGUCCCCAUUUGCCUCCUAUUAUAGAUGAUGGCCUUUGGGAAUUCCUGCGAAGGGUGGUUGGCAGCUGCAACCACGGAGAUUAUGCUGCUAAUUCCAUGUGGGUGAGCUGUCACCAAACAGUUUUGGGGCGCCUUACUGGCACCAUUCGAAUAUGGUAACAACCCGGGGCACAACCGCCAUCGAGAAUAUCGGUCUGGUGCAAUGCCAGUUCCUCGUUCAAUACUGAGGGGGGUAGGCCGGGCACUUGCUAGGGUGAUCUCCACUUUGGUCACAUCUGAGGUCAGAGGGACUCCCUUUGUCAAGUGCCACUCUUGAGAGCAUUACCAAACAAGAUAAGCCUCUGCACAUUCUUUAAUCAUUUGCAAGAGCUGCAAUUGGAAGGAUUGCAUUGCAGGGAAACAUUAUAUCAAAUUUGUAGCCGUAAUUAUUUAAACUCAAAUUCAAUAUGCACCUUGGUUUUGGAAACAGGCAGAAUUUGUAGUGUCAUGCAUUGUCAUACCAUGUCUGUCCAAUGUGUGUUGUCCUUUGUUUCUUCUCUAGGGAACUUUUGUCAAGUGUUGCUGUUACCUUGCAUGUUUGUCUCCUCUCAGUUGUAUGGGAAUGGUUGUAACUGCAACAAGAUUGUUCAAGAACCUAGACCUCUGGAAAGGAACUCUUAGCAUCAA